rnacentral:rRNA from 1 species
AAGAGUUUGAUCCUGGCUCAGGAUGAACGCUGGCGGCGUGCCUAAUACAUGCAAGUCGAGCGAACGGACGAGAAGCUUGCUUCUCUGAUGUUAGCGGCGGACGGGUGAGUAACACGUGGAUAACCUACCUAUAAGACUGGGAUAACUUCGGGAAACCGGGAGCUAAUACCGGAUAAUAUUUUGAACCGCAUGGUUCAAAAGUGAAAGACGGUCUUGCUGUCACUUAUAGAUGGAUCCGCGCUGCAUUAGCUAGUUGGUAAGGUAACGGCUUACCAAGGCAACGAUGCAUAGCCGACCUGAGAGGGUGAUCGGCCACACUGGAACUGAGACACGGUCCAGACUCCUACGGGAGGCAGCAGUAGGGAAUCUUCCGCAAUGGGCGAAAGCCUGACGGAGCAACGCCGCGUGAGUGAUGAAGGUCUUCGGAUCGUAAAACUCUGUUAUUAGGGAAGAACAUAUGUGUAAGUAACUGUGCACAUCUUGACGGUACCUAAUCAGAAAGCCACGGCUAACUACGUGCCAGCAGCCGCGGUAAUACGUAGGUGGCAAGCGUUAUCCGGAAUUAUUGGGCGUAAAGCGCGCGUAGGCGGUUUUUUAAGUCUGAUGUGAAAGCCCACGGCUCAACCGUGGAGGGUCAUUGGAAACUGGAAAACUUGAGUGCAGAAGAGGAAAGUGGAAUUCCAUGUGUAGCGGUGAAAUGCGCAGAGAUAUGGAGGAACACCAGUGGCGAARGCGACUUUCUGGUCUGUAACUGACGCUGAUGUGCGAAAGCGUGGGGAUCAAACAGGAUUAGAUACCCUGGUAGUCCACGCCGUAAACGAUGAGUGCUAAGUGUUAGGGGGUUUCCGCCCCUUAGUGCUGCAGCUAACGCAUUAAGCACUCCGCCUGGGGAGUACGACCGCAAGGUUGAAACUCAAAGGAAUUGACGGC